rnacentral:rRNA from 1 species
AACGAACGCUGGCGGCAGGCCUAACACAUGCAAGUCGAACGCUCCGCAAGGGGAGUGGCGCACGGGUGAGUAACACGUGGGAACCUACCUUCUGGUACGGAACAACCAAGGGAAACUUUGGCUAAGACCGUAUACGACCUCCGGGUGAAAGAUUGAUCGCCGGAAGAGGGCCCGCGUCCGAUUAGGUAGUUGGUGAGGUAACGGCUCACCAAGCCUUCGAUCGGUAGCUGGUCUGAGAGGAUGACCAGCCACACUGGGACUGAGACACGGCCCAGACUCCUACGGGAGGCAGCAGUGGGGAAUCUUGGACAAUGGGCGCAAGCCUGAUCCAGCCAUGCCGCGUGAGUGAAGAAGGCCUUAGGGUUGUAAAGCUCUUUUGCCAGGGACGAUAAUGACGGUACCUGGAGAAUAAGCCCCCGGCAAACUUCGUG